GCUGUUGUUUUAGUGUUCUUUUGAUGAGUUUGGCUUGUUGUUUUGAAAAGACUUUGUUUUGGCGAGUUUGAACGUUUUUUGAGCAUGUGUAAUGGCAUGAAUGCGUUAAGCUGUUGUUUUAGUGUUCUUUUGAUGAGUUUGGCUUGUUGUUAUGAACAUUGUUCGUUUUGGCCAGUUUGAAGGUUUUUGAGCAUGUGUAAUGGCAUGAAUGUGUUGAAUUAGUAAUCCCUUUUGUUAAGCCGUUGUUUUAGUGUUCUUUUGAUGAGUUUAGCUUGUUGUUAUGAACAGUGUUUUUUUUGCGAGUUUGAACGUUUUUGAGCAUGUGUAAUGGAAUGAAUGCGUUAAGCUGUUGUUUUAGUGUUCUUUUGAUGAGUUUGGCUUGUUGUUAUGAAUAUUGUUCGUUUUGGCCAGUUUGAAGAUUUUUUAGUAUGUGUAAUGGCAUGAAUGUGUUGAAUUAGUAGUCCCUUGUGUUAAGCCGUUGUUUUAGUGUUCUUUUGAUGAGUUUGGCUUGUUGUUAUGAAAAGUGUUUGUUUUUGCGAGUUUGAACGUUUUUGAGCAUGUGUAAUGGCAUGAAUGCGUUAAGCUGUUGUUUUAGUGUUCUUAUGAUGAGUUUGGCUUGUUGUUAUGAAAAGUGUUUGUUUUGGCGAGUUUGAACGUUUUUGAGCAUGUGUAAUGGCACGAAUGCGUUAAGCUGUUGUUUUAGUGUUCUUUUGAUGAGUUUGGAUUGUUGUUAUGAACAUUGUUCGUUUUGGCCAGUUUGAAGGUUUUUGAUCAUGUGUAAUGGCAUGAAUGUGUUAAAUUAGUAAUCCCUUGUGUUAAGCUGUUGUUUUAGUGUUCUUUUGAUGAGUUUGGCUUGUUGUUAUGAAAAGUGUUUGUUUUGGCGAGUUUGAACGUUUUUUGAGCAUGUGUAAUGGCAUGAAUGCGUUAAGCUGUUGUUUUAGUGUUCUUUUGAUGAGUUUGGCUUGUUGUUAUGAACAUUGUUCGUUUUGGCCAGUUUGAAGGUUUUUGAGCAUGUGUAAUGGCAUGAAUGUGUUGAAUUAGUAAUCCCUUGUGUUAAGCCGUUGUUUUAGUGUUCUUUUGAUAAGUUUGGCUUGUUGUUAUGAACAGUGUUUUUUUUUUUGCGAGUUUGAACGUUUUUGAGCAUGUGUAAUGGAAUGAAUGCGUUAAGCUGUUGUUUUAGUGUUCUUUUGAUGAGUUUGGCUUGUUGUUAUGAAAAGUGUUUGUUUUUGCGAGUUUGAACGUUUUAGAGCAUGUGUAAUGGCAUGAAUGCGUUAAGCUGUUGUUUUAGUGUUCUUUUGAUGAGUUUGGCUUGUUGUUAUGAAAAGUGUUUGUUUUGGCGAGUUUGAACGUUUUUGAGCAUGUGUAAUGGAAUGAAUGCGUUAAGCUGUUGUUUUAGUGUUCUUUUGAUGAGUUUGGCUUGUUGUUAUGAAAAGUGUUUGUUUUGGCGAGUUUGAACGUUUUUGAGCAUGUGUAAUGGCAUGAAUGCGUUAAGCUGUUGUUUUAGUGUUCUUUUGAUGAGUUUGGCUUGUUGUUAUGAAAAGUGUUUGUUUUGGCCAGUUUGAAGGUUUUUGAGCAUGUGUAAUGGCAUGAAUCUGUUGAAUUAGUAAUCCCUUGUGUUAAGCUGUUGUUUUAGUGUUCUUUUGAUGAGUUUGGCUUGUUGUUAUGAAAAGUGUUUGUUUUGGCCAGUUUGAAGGUUUUUGAGCAUGUGUAAUGGCAUGAAUCUGUUGAAUUAGUAAUCCCUUGUGUUAAGCUGUUGUUUUAGUGUUCUUUUGAUGAGUUUGGCUUGUUGUUAUGAACAGUGUUUUUUUUUUGCGAGUUUGAACGUUUUUGAGCAUGUGUAAUGGCAUGAAUGCGUUAAGCUGUUGUUUUAGUGUUCUUUUGAUGAGUUUGGCUUGUUGUUAUGAAAAGUGUUUGUUUUUGCGAGUUUGAACGUUUUUGAGCAUGUGUAAUGGCAUGAAUGCGUUAAGCUGUUGUUUUAGUGUUCUUUUGAUGAGUUUGGCUUGUUGUUAUGAAAAGUGUUUGUUUUGGCGAGUUUGAACGUUUUUGAGCAUGUGUAAUGGAAUGAAUGCGUUAAGCUGUUGUUUUAGUGUUCUUUUGAUGAGUUUGGCUUGUUGUUAUGAAAAGUGUUUGUUUUGGCGAGUUUGAACGUUUUUUAGCAUGUGUAAUGGCAUGAAUGUGUUAAGCUGUUGUUUUAGUGUUCUUUUGAUGAGUUUGGCUUGUUGUUAUGAAAAGUGUUUGUUUUGGCGAGUUUGGACGUUUUUGAGCAUGUGUAAUGGCACGAAUGCGUUAAGCUGUUGUUUUAGUGUUCUUUUGAUGAGUUUGGAUUGUUGUUAUGAACAUUGUUCGUUUUGGCCAGUUUGAAGGUUUUUGAUCAUGUGUAAUGGCAUGAAUGUGUUAAAUUAGUAAUCCCUUGUGUUAAGCUGUUGUUUUAGUGUUCUUUUGAUGAGUUUGGCUUGUUGUUAUGAAAAGUGUUUGUUUUGGCGAGUUUGAACGUUUUUGAGCAUGUCUAAUGGCAUGAAUGCGUUAAGCUGUUGUUUUAGUGUUCUUUUUAUGAGUUUGGCUUGUUGUUAUGAACAUUGUUCGUUUUGGCCAGUUUGAAGGUUUUUUAGCAUGUGUAAUGGCAUGAAUGUGUUGAAUUAGUAAUCCCUUGUGUUAAGCUGUUGUUUUAGUGUUCUUUUGAUGAGUUUGGCUUGUUGUUAUGAAAAGACUUUGUUUUGGCGAGUUUGAACGUUUUUUGAGCAUGUGUAAUGGCAUGAAUGCGUUAAGCUGUUGUUUUAGUGUUCUUUUGAUGAGUUUGGCUUGUUGUUAUGAACAUUGUUCGUUUUGGCGAGUUUGAAGGUUUUUGAGCAUGUGUAAUGGCAUGAAUGUGUUGAAUUAGUAAUCCCUUGUGUUAAGCUGUUGUUUAAGUGUUCUUUUGAUGAGUUUUGCUUGUUGUUAUGAGCAUUGUUUGUUUUGGCGAGUUUGAAGGUUUUUGAGCAUGUGUAAUGUUAUGAAUGCGUGAAUCUGUUGUUUUAGUGUUCUUUUGAAGAGUUUGGCUUGUUGUUAUGAACAUUGUUUGUUUUGGCGAGUUUGAAGGCUUUUGAGCAUGUGUAAUGGCACGUUUGUGUUGAAUUAGUUAACCCUUGUGUUAAGCUGUUGCUUUAGUGUUCUUUUAAAGAGUUUGGCUUGUUGUUAUGAACAUUGUUUGUUUUGGCCAGUUUGAAGGUUUUUGAGCAUGUGUAAUGGCAUGAAUGUGUUGAAUUAGUAAUCCUUUGUGUUAAGAUGUAAUUUAAGUGUUCUUUUAAAGAGUUUGGCUUGUUGUUAUGAACAUUGUUUGUUUUGGCCAGUUUGAAGGUUUUUGAGCAUGUGUAAUGGCAUGAAUGUGUUGAAUUAGUAAUCCUUUGUGUUAAGAUGUAAUUUAAGUGUUCUUUUAAAGAGUUUGGCUUAUUGUUAUGAACAUUGUUUGUUUUGGCGAGUUUGAAGGCUUUUGAGCAUGUGUAAUGACACGUAUGUGUUGAAUUAGUUAACCCUUGUGUUAAGCUGUUACUUUAGUGUUCUUUUGAUGAAUUUGGCUUGUUGUUAUGAACAUUGUUUGUUCUGGUGAGUUUGAAGGCUUUUGAGCAUGUGUAAUGGCAUGUAUGUGUUGAAUUAGUUAACCCUUGUGUUAAGCUGUUUUUUUAGUGUUCUUUUGAUGAGAUGGCGUGUUUUUAUGAACAUUGUUUGUUUUGGCGAGUUUGAAAGGUUUUUGAGCAUGUGUUUUGGCACGUAUGUGUUGAUUUGGUUACCCCUUGUGUUAAGCUGUAUUUUAAGUGUUCAUUUAAAGAGUUUGGCUUGUUGUUAUGAACAUUGUUUGUUUUGGCGAAGUUGAAGGUUUCUGAGCAUGUGGUAUGGCAUGUAUGUGUUUAAUUGGCUACCCCUUGUGUUAAGAUGUAUUUUGAGUGUUCUUUUAAGGAGUUUGGCUUGUUGUUAUGGACAUUGUUUGUUUUGGCGAGUCUGAAGGUUUGUGAGCAUGUGUAAUGACAUGGUUGUGUUGAAUUAGUUAAACCUUGUGUGAAGCUGUUGUUUUGGUGUUCUUUUGAUGAGUUUGGCUUGUUGUUAUGAUCAUUGUUUGUUUUGGUGAGUUUGAAGGUUUCUGAGCAUGUGUUAUAGCACGUAUGUGUUUAAUUGGCUACCACUUGUGUGAAGCUGUUGUUUUAGUGUUCUUUUGAUGAGUUUGGCUUGUUGUUAUGAACAUUGUUUGUUUUGGCGAGUUUGAAGGUUUUUGAGCAUGUGUUAUGGCACGUAUGUGUUUAAUUGGCUACCACUUGUGUUAAGCUGUUGUUUAAGUCUUUUGAUGAGUUUGGCUUGUUGUUAUGAACAUUGUUUGUUUUGGGGAGUUUGAAGGUUUUUGAGCAUGUGUUAUGGCAUGUAUGUGUUGAAUUAGUAUACCCUUGUGUUUAGCUGUUGUUGUAGUGUUCUUUUAAAGAGUUUGGCUUGUUGUUAUGAUCAUUGUUUGUUUUGGCGAGUUUGAAGGUUUGUGAGCAUGUGUUUUGGCAUGCAUCUGUUGAGUUUGUUACCCCCUGUGUUUAGCUGUUGUUUAAGUGUUCUUUUGAUGUGUUGGCUUCUUGUUAUGAUCGUAGUUUGUAUUGGUGAGUUUUUUUUUAUGCUCAAUUUGACAUACUCUUUGAAAACAUGAAGUCAAAAUUUUCACCGGGUCAAUACUAAAGCCAGGACAAAUUCUGUCCCUUUAAUGCCUCUCAGUGGCCAAAAAAGCCAAUACUUAUCAAAACAUCAAAAAACAUCAUCAAAAACUGGUGAUCUCCCGCAGGUAAUCAAAGACUUUAUUCCCUUUUUAGUUUUUCUGUAGCAUCAGGUUUAAUAAAAAACUCCCUUUGGCGUCCCUCAGUGGCCAAAACUACUUUGUCUGCUGUAAAAUAUAUUGGAUUAAUAUUUUUUUCAGAUUUUUUUCAUACAUCUCUUAUUUUACUUCUGCCCUGUUCAAAACUAGCAAAUGUUUCAUUGAAAAUAAAAAUUUUAACCCUAUAAGGGCCCAUUUCAGAACAGGUCACUUAUCAAGCAAAAAAAAAAAGGAAGGAAAAUGACCUAUUUUUUUAAUAAAACAUAAUCCGAAGCUGGUGAUUUUUUACAAGGUGCAUAGGCUUGGGCAUGUGGAGGAUUAGAAACAUCAGAAUGUUUGGUACAUUUUUGUGCAACAGAUUUUCUUUCUUGUGUGCACGUGCGUGCACGUGCGUGCAUGUGUGUGCGUGUAUGUGUGAGUGUGUGUGUAACAAACAAUAUAAGAUUGGAACACAACCAUAUUUUAUUGCUCAAAAUACAUCAACAAAAGUAGAAGGUGGUGUGUGUGUGUGUGUGUGUGUGUGUGUGUGUGUGUGUGUGUGUGUGUGUGUGUGAGUGAACAUGUGUGUGUGUGCUUGCCAAACCUGAAAGGUUAGGUAAGCAAGGUUGGUAAGCAAGGUGGAAAGAGAGACACCCAGAUAUGGGUUUCUACGACCCAUUCUUUCCAACUCCUCCCAGUCGUUGUCUGUUCCCUUCUCCAUUAAGAUAAAUAUCUGCUCCUCACACUAGCAAUUUUAGAACUGAAGAAGCUUCUUGGAUAAGAGGCAAAACGCCUUCUCAACUCUACACAGUCCAGUUGCCUGUUUUUAAGUCUAAAUCUUGCCCCAAGUGGCUUUUUUUAGCCACACCGUUACAUUAGGGAUAAACUUUAAAAAAUGCACGAUCAUCAGAGAUAAAAACUAAACGUUAUUGCCUUGAUACUUACUCAUCUUUACCAAUAUCAUCUACACUGAUUUUAAUGAUAGGAUUUUCAGUAACCAGCUACAUCACCAAUGAUAGACCUUUCAUGCAAAUGAAUUCAGUUAGUUUAAACACUCACACUAAAGGUUAAAUUUAGGGUGUGUGACUUGAUUCUGAGCAGUGUACAGCGAACCUGGGUCAUGGAAAGGAAAAAAGAGAAAAGGGACUAGGUUUCAUUUUCUGAAAUAAGUGACAAAAAGUAUUAAACUUUUUCAUGCUAUUCUAAAUGUAAAUGACCCACAUUAUGUGUUUGUAUCAGCAGUCUUAUUUUGAAGUUAAAAUCCCUAUUUUCGAUUAUUCUAUUUCCUGUGAGUAAUAUAACAGAGACCGAUCCCCUUAUUUUGAAAGAAUUUUCACCGGAAGUUAGAAGUCAAUGAACAGUAAAAAAUAUGAAAAGUCAGGAUCACAAUCGUCAAUAAGGAUCUCUUAAGUUGUAAAGUACCUGGUUGAUAGAGGCACAACAUAUGCUUCUUUUCUCACACAAAUUAAUAUGAAGUGCCUUUUUAAGAGUUUUUAUGAAAUUUGAUCGAGUUUCGUGUUGCUGAGUACUAGUAAAGAUGCUACAGUUACGAUGAUGGUUACAGUUAACACAGAUGACACAGUUAACACAAGAAAGUUGAUUUCAUUGUUCUUGAAGGUGUAUAAAAUAUAUGAUUUUAAUCAAACGAUUUUCUGUUACAGAAAGUGUAUUAAUAUUGUUCCUAUUGUUUUUUCGCUAGCUCUUGCGGUGUGUUCACACUCUUUAAUGGAAGUUUAAAGAUGGAAGUUUAAAGGAACCAUUUUAAAAAUAAAACUUUGUGAAACAUCAGUUGGAGAGUCAGACCAUAAAUCAACCAGGAUGCUACAGUAAAUUUAAAGAUAUGUAUAUAUAGAUACACAGUCAAGAUAUGCCACAUAACCAUUGAUCUAAUAAUCGGAUCCUAUUCUGAGUUAUUUUUACAUUUACUAAUUUUGGAUAACUAAAAAUUUUUUUCUAUUUAGAAAAACAUUAUAAAAUCAAGCUUAAGAUCUGACAAUUAAAUGAAAAAUUAUCACACACACCCUUUUCAAACUUACCAGUUCGUUCAAGCCUUCAGGACCGAAUGUGCUCUGCCUCUCCGUUUGCAUCUUUUCAGCCUGUGCCUUCUCAAAUCGCCGUUCACAGACAUUGUGAUGAUCUUUUAGCUUGUCCAGAUGACGAAGCAGAUGCUACUGGGCCUGCAAAAAACAGAAAAUAUAGUUUUAACUACAAUGGUGAACCAAAUUGAACAUCUAUUCCCCUUUUUCUUUUAUUACACAAGACAACAAAGGAAAGCUGGGCUGCUGUGACAAAAAUAUCCUGUAUGUGCUGAGACACCAAGGCCUAUUAAAUAUAGAACUACCUCAAUAAUUUAAAGAUCAAGGUUUUAAGACCGAGGAUAUGCAUAGUUGAUCUUGUGUGUAUUUAUACACAUUUUAUGCUAAAUUGUAGUGUACCUCUUGAUUUCCAGAGCCCAAAGAUGUCUUCAUGACCUUGGGCUUUGCUAGUUCACAGCCUGUUUUCACCUCAGCACCUGAGAAUAAAUAUAAAAGGUCAAUCAUGGAUAUGACUGAUUAAUUAAAAAACUCAAUUACACAGAUACAAUCAAUUUAAAAAUUGAUCUCAGACAUGUUGAUUAAUAAAAAAACAUAAGCCAACAAUAUUAAAAUUUGUUUGACAGCAUACAUAACCCUUGUGAAACCGUUAGAUUUAGAUCAGUUGUUAAUGCUCAGUGGCUAAAAAAAAUCACUGACAUUAACCGCUGUAAAAACAUAUUGGAUUCAUAUUUUUUCUAGAUUUUUUUCACACAUCUCUUAAUUAACUUCUGCUGUAUUCAAAACUAGUAAAUGUGUCAUUAAAAAUCAAAAUUUUAACCCUUUAAGGGCCAAUUUAAAACAUAAAGUCACUAAUAUUAGGAAAAAAUGAAAAAAUGUAACCAAUGUUAACAUUAGAACCAAACCAUAUUUUAUCGCUCAAAAUGCAAUAAAACAAAAGCCAUAAAUACACAACAACAGAGUAUCAAACCAGAACAAACGACUAACUUUUGAGGGUGAAGCGGUGGAGAGGACUGAAAGAAACCUGGGGAGCCUAAGAGAGCGAAUGUGUGAGAAAUUGAGUGAGCAAAGAGAGAUAAAAUGUAAAAGUGUGUGUGUGUGUUUGUUUGAGUGUUUGAGUGAGUGAGUGAGUGAGUGAGUGAGUGAGUGAGUGAGUGAGUCAGUGAGUCAGUGAGUGAGUGAGUGAGUGAGUGAGUGUGUGUGUGUGUGUGUGUGUUUGUGUGUUCAAUGUUUGAAGCAAGACCGGCAGGAGAUCUCUCUGUGGUCAUGCCAGAUGUGUUUCCAAACAGGCCAGACAAAAUCCGAAGCCCCAAAAGAUGUGUGUUUGCGUGCGUGUCUGCAUGUGUGCAUGUGAGUGUGUGCAUGUGAGAGAGAGAGGGGAGGAGCCUGCAGGUCAUGACCCAGCACUGACCCCGUCACAAAAGUUAACUAUGUUCUUCAGCUCUCAGAAGUACAGAGAGGGGGAAAAAAAACAAAAAAAACAAAAGUGAGCUGUCCUGCAAUCCACAACUUGCAGAUUCUAAUGACCAUUUUUUCAUGAGAAGAGCAAGAGAAAGCAUGAAGAGAAGCUUCUGCACCACGGAGGCCCUUGCAAUUGUCAUUGAUUCUGAUGGGAUGGAAUCUGACCCCCCACAGGAUCCAUCAUCAUUGUCUGGCCUGUUUUGUUCGAGGGGUGAAUCUACUGCCUCGCUGUGAGAUGUGGAUCUCUCCUGGAACCGGAGAAAGUGAUUCAGGAGGAGGCUUUUCGUGGAGGACCUGGGAACGGCUUUGGUGUCAAAAAGAACUAACAAAACCUGUGAGUUAUGUGUGAAACACAUCUGGCAUGAACACAGAGUGAUCUCCUGCAGGUCUUGCUUCAAACACUGAACACACACACACACACACACAGAGCUGAGUUCUGGCUCAGCACAUUACGACCAAGCUGGUACCGAAAGAGAAUGCGAGUAUAGAAAAGACACAAAUAGUGCAAGUGUUUUUAUGAGUGUUUUGUGAAAGUUUCUAUGAAAAUUAGACAUUACACAAAAUGUAUCAUAGUUUCUGAGGUUCCUAAUCCUUCACAAGGCCAAGACCAUGCAACAUGUAAAAAAUCACCUGUUAGGUCAUUUUUGUGUAUAUGUCUACCAUAUCAGUGACAUUAUGCUUUGAAUGGACCCUCAAAGGGUUAAAAAAAUGUUUUUAAAUGAAACAUUUACUAGUUUUGAUUAAAGCAGAAGUUACUUAAGAGAUAUAUGAAAAAACUGAAAAAAAAUAUUAACCCAAUAUCUUUUUACAGCAGUCAAAGUUAGUGGCUUUUUUUAGCCACUGAGUGUAAACAGAGAAUAGAAAAUUUGCCCAGCCCGUAUUUUUGACCUGGUGAAAAUUUUGAAGUCAUAUUUUCAAAGUGUCCAUCAAUAUAGGCAUCUGCACAAAAAAUCAUCCCAUUUGCUGCAGUUAAAAACAAAGUUACAUGGAAAUUAGUGGCUAAAUUUUGCCCCAAGUGGCUUUUUUUAGCCACACCGUUACAUUAGGGAUAAACUUUAGAAAAUGCACGAUCAUCAGAGAUAAAAACUAAACGUUAUUGCCUUGAUACUUACUCAUCUUUACCAAAAUCAUCUACACUGAUUUAAAUGAUAGGAUUUUAAGUAACCAGCUACAUCACCUAUGAUAGACCAUUCAUGCAAAUGAAUUCAGUUAGUUGAAACACUCACACUAAAGGUUAAAUUUAGGGUGUGUGACUUGAUUCUGAGCUGUGUACAGCGAACCUGGGUCAUGGAAAGCAAAAAAGAGAAAAGGGACUAGGUUUCAUUUUCUGAAAUAAGUGACAAAAAAUAUUGAACUUUUUCAUGCUAUUCUAAAUGUAAAUGAACCACAUUAUGUGUUUGUAUCAGCAGUCUUAUUUUGAAGUUAAAAUCCCUAUUUGCUAUUAUUUUAUUUCCUGUGAGUAAUAUAACAGAGACCGAUCCCCUUAUUUUGAAAGUAUUUUCACCGGAAGUU